AUUGACCUCGGAUCAGGUAGGGAUACGCAACUUAAGCAUAUCAAUAAGCCCGGGA
rnacentral:rRNA from 1 species